rnacentral:rRNA from 1 species
UACGUAGGGUGCAAGCGUUAAUCGGAAUUACUGGGCGUAAAGCGUGCGCAGGCGGUGAUGUAAGUCAGAUGUGAAAUCCCCGGGCUCAACCUGGGAAUUGCAUUUGUGACUGCAUCGCUGGAGUGCGGCAGGGGGGGAUGGAAUUCCGCGUGUAGCAGUGAAAUGCGUAGAUAUGCGGAGGAACACCGAUGGCGAAGGCAGUCCCCUGGGCCUGCACUGACGCUCAUGCGCGAAAGCGUGGGGAGCAAACAGG